UCUGAACAGGUCCGCACAGAGGACGUUGCUGGACAUUCAGUUUCUGCACACAUUUGAACGCAUGUUAAUGUAUGACACACUUAUCUAUACAUACGAGAAUUACACACGGCUGGUAAAACCCAGUGUUGUUCAUACAUCUUGCAAACUUCAAAAUCAAUUUACAAGCAUUAAGCACUCAGACAAGUUUGCAAAAACUAACGUUAGAGAGCAAGAAAUUAUUUAAUAUUUUUUAGGGGUGCCGAGAUGGGCCCUUGGUUAGAACGAGGCCCUUCAAAAGGUUUGUAAGAGCCAAGGGUAUAAAUAGAAAUCUUUUGUUCUCAGAUGACCAUGCAUAUAGGCAUGCACACACACACACACACACACACACACACACACACACACACCAUACCAGGACACAGCCACACACAUAUACAAUGAAGCUUGUCUGGAGAAACAAUGGAAACGGAGGGAAAUAAAAGAAACCAAAGGUAUCAAUGGCAAAUAUGACUUGGAAUUUAAUUGACCAAAGAAGGUAUAAAAGUGUGUCAAUUACUCAGCCUGGAGACAGCACAUAAGGGGCUUAAAGCUUUGGCUUAGCCUACAGGGUCUGUGCACGUCUCCCUGAUCACUAUAGUGUAACAAAGUAUAAUUGUUUACUGUCUAAGAAAGAACAUUUUAUUUCUACGUCGUAUUAGUGCUGUAAAAUAUAGUGUAACCACAAAAAUUUAUUAAAAAUGCUGUGUUGAUUCAUUUGUUCACUUUUCUGCAUAUGAACAGCUCUUCUGAUUUUACCUACUGCUGCUGUGUUUGGGGAAAUGAAUCUAAAAAACAUUUCAUGUCUCCUUAAAUAUAUAUAAUUUCUUAAUUCCACAUGUAAUCAACAUGUGGCUGUUUGUCUGUUCACUACAAGCAGGUUGUUCUGUGUUGUAGAAAGUCCAGAUGUCUUGUUUCAUGUAAAACCUGAAACCAACCUGAGUGUGAUUUCUCUUUAGUUCUGACCUCACUGCUGAGCUGCACAACAAACCAAGCCUCUCUGACUGUGAGUCCCAGCAGCUCUCAGCUGUUUAAAGAUCAGUUUGUCUCUCUGAGCUGUGAGGAGGACGACAGCUCUGCUGGAUGGACGCUGAGGAGGAACACAAGCAGAGGAACCAGGACUCAGUGUGACGACUGGGGAGGAGAACCAGCUGGUUCUUCCUGUUACAUCAGCUACAUCGCUGCAUCAGACAGCGGAGUUUACUGGUGUGAGUCCAGAGAGGGAGCAACCAGUAACACCAUCAACAUCACUGUCACUGGUGGACCAGUGAUCCUGCAGAGUCCUGUCCUCCCUGUGAUGGAGGGAC